rnacentral:rRNA from 1 species
AACGAACGCUGGCGGCAGGCUUAACACAUGCAAGUCGAGCGCCCCGCAAGGGGAGCGGCAGACGGGUGAGUAACGCGUGGGAAUCUACCCUUGACUACGGAAUAACGCAGGGAAACUUGUGCUAAUACCGUAUGUGUCCUUCGGGAGAAAGAUUUAUCGGUCAAGGAUGAGCCCGCGUUGGAUUAGCUAGUUGGUGGGGU